UCUAGGGGCCGCAAGGCAACCGGCAGACGAGGUAGUAACACGUAGGAACGUACCCUGAAGUCUCGUAUAGCUUACCGAAAGGUGAGGUAAUCCGAGAUAGUCUCGUAAGAGUAAAGAUCCGUCGCUUCGGGAGCGGCCUGCGUAAUAUCACGCUAGUUGGUGAGGUAAUGGCUCACCAAGGCUAUGACGUUUAGGGGAGCUGAGAGGCUGAUCCCCACCGAUGAAACUGAGAACGGUUCAUACCCCUACGGGGGGCCGCAGCCGAGAAUAUUCGACAAUGGGCGAAAGCCUGAUCGAGCGAUACCGCGUGGUGGAUGAAGCGCUUCGGCGCGUAAACACCUUUUAUGGGGGAAGAAGUUAUUGACAUUACCUCAUGAAUAAGGGGCUCCUAACUCUGUGCCAGCAGGAGCGGUAAUACAGAGGCCCCGAGCAUUACCCGGAAUUACUGGGCGUAAAGAGUGCGUAGGUGGUCGUGUUAGUCGUUCGUUAAAACCCCCGGCUCAACCGGGGAUCGGCGAACGAAACGGCACGACUAGAGAGCGUGAGAGGUCCGUGGAACUCUAGGUGUAGGGGUGAAAUCCGUUGAUAUCUAGGGGAACACCGAAAGCGAAGGCAGCGGACUGGCGCGUUUCUGACACUCAAGCACGAAAGCGUGGGUAGCGAACGGGAUUAGAUACCCCGGUAGUCCACGCCCUAAACUAUGAUAACUGGCUUUCCGGAGUAUCGACCCUCUGGGAGGCGAAGCUAACGCGUUAAGUUAUCCGCCUGGGUAGUACGGCCGCAAGGCUAAAACUCAAAGGAAUAGACGGGGGCUUGCACAAGCGGUGGAGCGUGUGGCUUAAUUCGUCGCUAAGCGAAGAACGUUACCAGGGCUAGAAAUCCUACUGCACGCCUAGCGAAAGCUAGGAAGCCUUUCGAGGGUGUAGACAGGUGAUGCAUGGCUGUCGUCA
rnacentral:rRNA from 1 species